CGCGCGCGUCAGAGCCAAGUGGAAUGAUUCCAGAUUGCUUCACGUAUAUGAAGCGGGGGGGAAGCGCCCGUCACCCCAACCCCCUACCCCAACCUUUUGCAGCCUGGACAAGUGGUCUGUAAUGCAGCUUGGCGCAAAAUAAAGUCUGAACAAAACUAGACUGUGAGACUAGCACGUCCUAGAGUGGAAUUGACUGAGGUUAACGCAGAGUCUGUAAAGACUCUACAGACUCGGAUCAUUUGCAAGCAAACUAAAAUUCCCUUUUUUAAAAAAGAAAAAAAAUCAUUAAUUGGGUUCCGAUCUAAAAUACUGCUCUUAAAAUGCGCUCACAUGUUGAAGACUGAGAUUGCAAGUUCUCGAGUAAACAUCUGGUGAAGACAUUCCAGGAACACAUCUGAAAGGAAGAAAGGAACUCUCAAGGUGACUUCAUCCAUGGCGGCUGUGUGGCAGCGAGCUACUUGCGCAUCUCUUCUGUUCCGUGAGGUCAUGUUGGCAGCUUGAAAUUGAUCAAGUGGGAAGCAUUUACAUCACAGAAAUUGUUCACCUUGUGCCCAACCUUCUGUCUCCCUGAGUCAGACCUGCAGACGAUUGCAUGCCACCAGCUGUCUUCACUCCUGAGAACAUGACACAAAGGAAUGCUCCCUGUCAAGUUCUUCAUUAUCCUUCUGAUGAAUUUCCCCUGGUUUAAACAAGUUGGUGGUAGACAGACCUUUCUCGCAUUUUCACAGACGUGCCAGGAGGAAACCCAGCGUCUCUCAGUUUCCUUUAAAUAUAUGAGAUACCAUGAAAGGAUUUGAGCGUUUUUUUAUGUGAAUCCAAAGAUGACAUUUACAAAAGGUGGAGAAGCAGUUCCCUACUGAGGGACGUGGAUACAAAAAGCAGAUGACACAACACAUCCCAUAGAGUUCCCAGGGAAGAAUGAACCCAGAUUCUUGACCUGCAGAGGUGGCGUACUGGCUGGAGAAAUCUCUGGCUGGCGACCGUGCUAUUCUGUCUGUCCACCUAACUGUGGGCUCCCAGAUCACCACUGCCAUGGGCAGGGGGCCGUGGGGUGGGCCUGCUUGGGGUGACAGGCUAGCUGUGCUCCCAUAGCAGAGGUGGGAGAAGGGAAUCACAUCUGGUGAGCAGCUAUGUCGUGCCAGGCACUGUGCUGUGUAUUGCACACAUCUCAAACCUUGUGACAAAUGUGUAAGAUAUUUUUUAUGUAUUACAAAUGAAGGAACUGGGCUCAGAAAAGCUCCAUUAUUUGCCCAAAUUGCAGCAGUAAUGCAGGAAUUUGAAUCCACAUUAAUCUGACUCCACAACCCAUGUUCUUUCACUGAAUUCCCAUAUCCUUGUUCCCCCUACUGUCCUCACUGGUCAAGGUGAGCUUGGUCUUCCACAAACAGGCUAGAAAAGUAUGCUUACUUAUCUUUAGCUUUAUGCUUUUAAACUAAUUCUUAAAAAUCUUCUCUGGAUAAGUCAAAGACAAUGGGAAUGUGUAUUUCUAAUACAUUAAUUAUAAUACAUUACCGGUUUACACAAUGCCAUCACCUUGUCAUUUUCUUUGACACAACGUCCCCCUCCCCUCUAGUUUAUAAAUGAGGACAUUGAGGCACAAAGUGGGUAAGUGACUUGCCCAAGGGGGAGAUUUGUCCAAUCAUAAAGAUGGGCCUGAACUUUUUCUACUUUGCAUUCUUACUUGAAAGGCAGGAAACAUAUGCUCAAGAGGGAGAUCUCACGAAAUUUCAUGUCAUAUAGUGCUCUCGCUAAUUUAAUCCUGUCAUUCCUGGUUAUAUCCCUUUGGAAAAACCACCACCAGUGCCUUCUCUUUUGAUAUAUUUACAGUAAAAAUAUUCCCUGUACAAACCAUCUCACUCUUUCACAGGGAACUGGCUUGGCCCUCUCCCCUGAAGUGGGUUGCACAUCCACCCAGCCCACCCCCAGCUCACUCUAGCUCCCUUCCUGUUAGAAUUUAUUCAGAACCUCCAUUUCUAGGAGGAAGCAAGGAGGGGGCAGUUAUCUUCGUGGACUUGGGUCCUCCUGGACCCUUUGUCCUCAUGGUUAUGUUUCAAACAGAGUUGAGGGCUCCCUAAAGGGGAAAGAUUAUUUAAGUUUUGUAAAUGCUGCCCUCCAAAAACCACUCCACAUAAAUGUUUCAUGGCUUAGCCUCUGUGAGGCCAGAGCUGGAACAUUCAGCUGUGAGGGUGUUUAUAUUUGUGGAACUCUCUUGAACAUUUGCUGUGGGUUUUAAACAGCUGCUAUGCUGAAGCUCUGGGGAUAGGAAGAUCAUGAAUAUUCAGGUGAAGCCACCAGAAUGAACAGCCGUUAAUAGAAUAAAUGCCUAAACAGUUGUGUAAGGCUUAUUAAGACCUAUUGGGGCUGAGAUAAUAAAUUCCCACUCUGACAUGUUGCAACUACUGUCGCUUAAACACUUUGGACCACCUCUUCUGAACUGAAGGAAAAAAUGAUGUUAGUUCUCUGCGCGAAUACAAAGAAACACCUGGAAGCCUUGGCAAGGGGAUGAGAUUUGGCAGAGAUCUUUCCGUGUACCGAUGCAUCCUCAGGAAAAUGAUGUGCCGCUCAUUGUUCCUGUUGUCAAGGUUAUCGCAGUCGACUUCAGGCUGGAACGGGCAUUGCUCUUGCACUGAAGAAAGUCUGUCCUGACUCCCUCAGAGUGCCUCAACAUCAACCAAGAGCCACCGUGAACCUCUGGGGCACUGAGCCUGGCCACCAGCACCCCCACCCCAGCCCAUAUGGCCUGGGCCUCUCCCUUGGUAAGCCUCUUCCAACAGGGUAUCAGAGGAACCAAAUACACACUUACACUGGACGCUUGCUUUUCAUUCGCUUGCUCCAUAAUCCAUAGCAGGGAACACAAUGCAAAGAUUGCAAAUGUAAAAAUGACCUUUCCAAGUGGUAACACCUGGUGUGUUAAAAAGUCCAUUGCAGACUGGGUUUGCAGUGUGCACACUGUAAAUAUGGGGAAUGUGGGAAACAGUAGAGAGGGACUGUUUUCUCCUUUGGGUGUUAGCUGUCACCUUGUGUUAGACUGAGCCAGACUCCUCGGUUCUGGCUCCCACAGUCACAAGGCAUUAACCAAGGGUAUACAGAGGAACUCACCCAGGUUCACACCUAGAGAAGACUCAGUAAUAUUUGAUCAGCAACCUGCUGUCAAUUUAGAUAAAUGGCAUUUGACUUCAAAUAAAGGUGACUAACUCAAUGAAGGAAGCCUGUGCAUAGAAGGCAAUGUUUGCUUCUCCCAAGCUGUCAGGGAGAGCUUGCCCACCCUAGCAGUGGUCACUGAUUUUCUCCACCUCUGAAGACAUGGUGGGGUCCUGCCAAAGACUCUGAGCUGUCAGAAUUCUGGAAGAGACAAACUCACAACAAAGAAAUGCACAUGUCUCAAUGUGGCUUGGGAGGAGUAGCAGAUUUUAGAGUGAUGCUGACCUGAAUUUGAAUUGUGCUCUGCCACUCAAGGUCUGAGUGUCUGAAAGCAAGUUAUUCCACUUCUGUGAGGUAUAGCUGUCUUGCCUGUAACACAGGCAUUAUUCU
rnacentral:lncRNA from 1 species